rnacentral:rRNA from 1 species
UGCCAGCAGCCGCGGUAAUACAGAGGGUGCAAGCGUUAAUCGGAAUUACUGGGCGUAAAGCGCGCGUAGGUGGUUUAUUAAGUCGGAUGUGAACGCCCUGGGCUCAACCUGGGAACUGCGUUCGAAACUGGUAAGCUAGAGUAUGGUAGAGGGAAGUGGAAUUUCCGGUGUAGCGGUGAAAUGCGUAGAUAUCGGAAGGAACACCAGUGGCGAAGGCGGCUUCCUGGGCCAAUACUGACGCUGAGGUGCGAAAGCGUGGGGAGCAAACAGGAUUAGAUA